CGCUCGCCCCGGGAGGGAGCCCGCGGCCAGGGCUGGACUCUCGCCCCGCCACCUCCACCGACUCUCUCCUCAGCCUCCGCGCCUGGCACCGCAGCAAGACUUGAAUGAAGUGAUCAUGUAAACUAGAGAAAGGAGAUUAAAAAUAACCUCUGGAUAUUCCUCUCAUGUGAUCUUUAUUCUGGAUGAAGCAUUAGGACAGCUAAUAGCCGUGUGUCACUUGAAAAUGAAAGGUGGUGAAACUGGAGGCAAAAAAAAAAUGAAGCAAAGAUGCUUUUAUUUUCUUUACUCUGAAGUUAUUUUGCCGGUAGAAAAAUGAGGGAACAUUGAGAUAAUAAAAGAGCCUGCAGCUGUGAAGAAAAGCUCUCAGAAUUCUCAAAGACAAGAGCACAUAGUCUGAGAGGUUUUGCCACUGACAUUGCUAAAUUUGAAAACUCCAAAAUUCUUUCUGCAAUGUGUGAAGAGGACUAAGACUAAAUAUUAUAAUUGUUAAUAAACAGUGAAAAGAAAAUAAAUUGUAUUAUCUACAUGUAUGAAUAUAUACACAUAAUCCCUGACUCAGCAUGGUUCAACUUACAAUUUUUUGACUUUACUGUGUUACAAAACACUACACACUUUCACUAUACUCCUUGAAUGACAACAGGGUUACAUCUGGAGGAACCCAUGGUAAGUUAAAAAUAUCGUUAGUUAAAAUGCCCUUUUGACCCAGGAUAUAUUCAAUGUGUAAUGGGCAUAACUCCAUCAUCAGCUGAGGAGCAUCUGUAUAGCCGUCCCUCUAUCCACAAAAGAUAUGUUCCAGGUCUCCCAAUGGAUGCCUGAAACCACAAAUAAGACAGAGCUGUCUAUAUUAUGACUUUUCCUAUGUUUACAUUCCGAUUAUACAGUUCAAUUUAUAUAUUAGGCACAGUGAAAGGUGAACAACAGUGACUAAUAUUAAUAAUAGUAGAAGAAAUUAUAAUACACUAUCAUAAAAGUUACAUAAAUGUGGUCUCCUCUGUCUUUGUCUCUCAAAAUGUCUUGUGGUGUACUUACCAUUUUUCUUCUUAUGAUGUCGUGAGAUGAUAAAAUGCUCAAGUGCUGAGAUGAAGAGAGGCAAAUGAUGAAGGCACUGUUAUGUAGUGUUAGGCUAUUGACCUUCUCACAACAGGAUAGAAGGGGGAUCAUCUGCCUUGGGAGAUCCUGGAUCAUGGGGCCAUGAUGUGGAUGGUUGGAUGUCAGGAGCAGACCACGUUGAUGACUAAUGGGUACAAACGGUGUGGAUACCCUGUGUACCACAGGGUACACAUGUCCCAGGGACAUGUGGGAAGAUUCAUGUCCCAGGCAGGACAGAGCAGGAUGCUACUCAGAACUUACCAAUGUAAAACUUAUAAAUUGUUUAUUCUAGAAUUUUCCACUUAAUAUUUUCAGACUUUGCCUGAUUGAGGAUAACUGAAACCAUGGAAAGGUAAACCAUGGAUAAGGGGAGAUGACUGUAUCUACGUGUGUGUCAGACAGAAUAUUCAUUUGGACACGUGGGCAGAAAAUGGCCUUUCCCAGCCGCAUGCAGUAGCUCAUGCCUGUAAUCCCUGAAGGCCGAGGUGGGAAGAUUGCUUGAGCCCAGGAGUUUGAGACC
rnacentral:lncRNA from 1 species